rnacentral:rRNA from 1 species
CCAGAGAUGGAUUGGUGCCUUCGGGAACUCUGAGACAGGUGCUGCAUGGCUGUCGUCAGCUCGUGUUGUGAAAUGUUGGGUUAAGUCCCGCAACGAGCGCAACCCUUAUCCUUUGUUGCCAGCGGUUAGGCCGGGAACUCAAAGGAGACUGCCAGUGAUAAACUGGAGGAAGGUGGGGAUGACGUCAAGUCAUCAUGGCCCUUACGAGUAGGGCUACACACGUGCUACAAUGGCGCAUACAAAGAGAAGCGACCUCGCGAGAGCAAGCGGACCUCAUAAAGUGCGUCGUAGUCCGGAUUGGAGUCUGCAACUCGACUCCAUGAAGUCGGAAUCGCUAGUAAUCGUGGAUCAGAAUGCCACGGUGAAUACGUUCCCGGGCCUUGUACACACCGCCCGUCACACCAUGGGAGUGGGUUGCAAAAGAAGUAGGUAGCUUAACCUUCGGGAGGGCGCUUACCACUUUGUGAUUCAUGACUGGGGUGAAGUCGUAACAAGGUAGGCGUAGUGCU